AACAGUAGCCAUAUCACCCUGCAACUCACAACUGGCAGCCUACGGAACCUAAGCAGGUGUGAGCCUGGUCAGUACCUGAAUGGGAGAUCUCCUGGUAAAAACUAAGGUUGCUGCUGGAA
rnacentral:rRNA from 1 species